GGUUGCGAUCAUACCAGCACUAAUGCACGGAUCCCAUCAGAACUCUGCAGUUAAGCGUGCUUGGGCGAGAGUAGUACUAGGAUGGGUGACCCCCUGGGAAGUCCUCGUGUUGCAACCC
rnacentral:rRNA from 1 species